AACGAACGCUGGCGGCAGGCUUAACACAUGCAAGUCGAACGAGAUCUUCGGAUCUAGUGGCAGACGGGUGAGGAACACGUGGGAACAUCCCUUUCAGUUCGGAAUAACGUUGGGAAACUAACGCUAAUACCGGAUACGUCCUUCGGGAGAAAGAUUUAUCGCUGAAAGAUUGGCCCGCGUCUGAUUAGCUAGUAGGUGAGGUAAUGGCUCACCAAGGCUAAGAUCAAUAGCUGAUCUGAGAGGAUGAUCUGCCACAUUGGGACUGAGACACGGCCGCAACUCGUACGGGGGUCAGCACUGAGGAAUAUUAGACAAUGGGCGCAAGCCUGAUCCAGCCAUGCCGCAUGAGUGAUGAAGGCCUUCGGGUUGUAAAGCUCUUUUAUCCGGGAAGAUAAUGACUGUACCGGAAGAAUAAGCCCCGGCAAACUUCGUGCCAGCCGCCGCAGUAA
rnacentral:rRNA from 1 species